rnacentral:rRNA from 2 species
AGACCCGAAACCCGGUGAUCUAGCCAUGGGCAGGUUGAAGGUUGGGUAACACUAACUGGAGGACCGAACCGACUAAUGUUGAAAAAUUAGCGGAUGACCUGUGGCUGGGGGUGAAAGGCCAAUCAAACCGGGAGAUAGCUGGUUCUCCCCGAAAGCUAUUUAGGUAGCGCCUCGUGAAUUCAUCUCCGGGGGUAGAGCACUGUUUCGGCUAGGGGGCCAUCCCGGCUUACCAACCCGAUGCAAACUGCGAAUACCGGAGAAUGUUAUCACGGGAGACACACGGCGGGUGCUAACGUCCGUCGUGAAGAGGGAAACAACCCAGACCGCCAGCUAAGGUCCCAAAGUCAUGGUUAAGUGGGAAACGAUGUGGGAAGGCCCAGACAGCCAGGAUGUUGGCUUAGAAGCAGCCAUCAUUUAAAGAAAGCGUAAUAGCUCACUGGUCGAGUCGGCCUGCGCGGAAGAUGUAACGGGGCUAAACCAUGCACCGAAGCUGCGGCAGCGACACUGUGUGUUGUUGGGUAGGGGAGCGUUCUGUAAGCCUGUGAAGGUGGCCUGUGAGGGUUGCUGGAGGUAUCAGAAGUGCGAAUGCUGACAUAAGUAACGAUAAAGCGGGUGAAAAGCCCGCUCGCCGGAAGACCAAGGGUUCCUGUCCAACGUUAAUCGGGGCAGGGUGAGUCGACCCCUAAGGCGAGGCCGAAAGGCGUAGUCGAUGGGAAACAGGUUAAUAUUCCUGUACUUGGUGUUACUGCGAAGGGGGGACGGAGAAGGCUAUGUUGGCCGGGCGACGGUUGUCCCGGUUUAAGCGUGUAGGCUGGUUUUCCAGGCAAAUCCGGAAAAUCAAGGCUGAGGCGUGACGACGAGGCACUACGGUGCUGAAGCAACAAAUGCCCUGCUUCCAGGAAAAGCCUCUAAGCAUCAGGUAACAUCAAAUCGUACCCCAAACCGACACAGGUGGUCAGGUAGAGAAUACCAAGGCGCUUGAGAGAACUCGGGUGAAGGAACUAGGCAAAAUGGUGCCGUAACUUCGGGAGAAGGCACGCUGACACGUAGGUGAAGUGAUUUACUCAUGGAGCUGAAGUCAGUCGAAGAUACCAGCUGGCUGCAACUGUUUAUUAAAAACACAGCACUGUGCAAACACGAAAGUGGACGUAUACGGUGUGACGCCUGCCCGGUGCCGGAAGGUUAAUUGAUGGGGUCAGCGCAAGCGAAGCUCCUGAUCGAAGCCCCGGUAAACGGCGGCCGUAACUAUAACGGUCCUAAGGUAGCGAAAUUCCUUGUCGGGUAAGUUCCGACCUGCACGAAUGGCGUAAUGAUGGCCAGGCUGUCUCCACCCGAGACUCAGUGAAAUUGAACUCGCUGUGAAGAUGCAGUGUACCCGCGGCAAGACGGAAAGACCCCGUGAACCUUUACUAUAGCUUGACACUGAACAUUGAGCCUUGAUGUGUAG